AGCUGAUGACAGAUUUUUGACGUUUUUUGAUAUGAUUUUUAACAUAAAAAAUAACUCAGAAUGAUAUAUAUAUGAAUUCUGGAAAGCGCCUAUUUUCCAAGUUAUGAUUUACAAACGCGGGUAUUUUGGCGAAUUUUACUGGGCGCAGCACCCUGGAGACCACUGAUGAUGAAGUCGAAAAUGACGUCAGCGACAGAACUCUUCCUCCUCACUCACUUGCUGAUGCCCGUGGUAUUGAUGGGACAGGAGGUGGAGCUGUGCUCUGAACAUGUCAAUUUUGGAUAAUUUCGGUACUUCCACAUUAAAAUAAUUACUUGGCUGUUCAGUUAAAUGUCAUACAAAUGUGUGCUACUGUCAUCCGGAGUGCAGUAUUCAGGAGGGGGUCUCACAGUUAGGCUGGUCUAUCAGGCUAAUCAUGUUGGUUUGCACAUCGGAUCCGUCGCCGGGGACAAUACCUCUUCAAAGACCCGUCAAAUCAUGUUGUGAAACAAACGACGUGAAGGCCUACUUUAGAUUUACAAGGACUACAGAAGAAAUGGGAUCCCAAAUUGGAACUGGAAGCAGAUCAUGGGUCACACCAUGCAACCAAACACUUUCUGCACCGCUGAGCGAAAAAGAGAUGCAAUACUUCACACCCUGAAGAUGUACCUGGGGGGAAUUGCCAGAAGAUUUUUUUUGUGUGUGGGUAAGAACCUUUUUUUCUAUUCUGGUUGCAGGUCCUUCACCCAUUGAUGCCUAAAGAACAUGCAAAAAAUUCCAGCUGAAUGCCUAAGCCCAUUUUGAGAAAAGUUUCCCUCAGCAUAUGAAAAAAAUAUCUCAGCCUCUGAAGCACAUUAAAACAUGACAGCAAUUGCAUUAAACACAAAGACCCCCAUCUUGCAUUAGAAUGUGUUCAUUCAGCUCUAACAUACAACAUUUUUAAUGAAAAUUAACUCAUGAGCCUGAAAGUUGCGUCAUGCGGCACUUGGGACAAUGUUGCGCUUGUAAUUUACCUGCUGAUGUGAACACCACCUCAUACAGUUUUGUAUGUGACACGUAUACCCCACUACUGCAUGAUAAUCUGUAUCCUGCAUUGCAUUUCAAUGUUACAUCGUGCCAAAGAAUUAUUUUAUUUUGGAGCCCACCCAUGCAAUUUCCCUUGUAUUAUUUUUGCCAUGUCUUUUUCUCACAUUGCUGCAAAACAUUCAAACUCUAUCAUUUACCAAGUAGAGUGUUAAU